CAAAAAUCUUAGAAGUGAAAAAAGCACUCAAUGUUUGUACAUGGUCCAAGCACAAGACUGCAUUAGGCUGUGCCUGCCUUUCUGUAAAACACAGUUGUUAAAGUAAAAUAUAGCAAUUGGUAUCAUUAUUUUCUUUUCCAUUUGCCUAGCAUAAAUGAGCGUCAACACAGCUGACUGAGGAAUGACACAUGCAUUGUUUCCCAGUGCCAGUUUGAGACAUAAAUCUUGACAAAUAAUGAUCAACAAAUGGUAACAAUAGCAGUGAAGCCAACACAGCUACCACGGGCUCUUCACCUUGUUCCUGUCUCCAGAAGCGUUCCACAUAAACACAAGAAUAUCUCCAGUACCAGAGGAACACCAGAAGUCAUGACCAUGGGUAGAGGAGUUGCUGCAGCUGAUAUAAAUGAAACACUUUAGUAAAAUCUUGCUUUAGCAUGUUAUUCUACUUUUGAAGAGACAUUUGAGUGGAAAGCACAUCAAAGGCUUGGUGCCUUAUGUCAGAGACUACUAUAUCACAAAAUCCCUUCACAAGCUAAUCAAGUUUCAAAGGAAAAGCUCUGAAAUUUCUCACCUGGCUGCAGCAGUUCUUGGUGGACAUAUCUUUGAAAACUGUCAUCUCCUUUUCCAUUAGAUAAGUUUAUAACAUUUUUAAAGUCUAUGUUGUCAUCAAAUCCCACCACUUCUCCAUUGGUGGUUUUUUGGAGGAAGUACCAUCAAAAAUAAAAAUAUUUCUUGUGGAAAUAUUACUCUUAUU
rnacentral:lncRNA from 1 species